AGAGUUUGAUCCUGGCUCAGAUUGAACGCUGGCGGCAUGCCUUACACAUGCAAGUCGAACGGUAACGCGGGGGCAACCCUGGCGACGAGUGGCGAACGGGAGAGUAAUACAUCGGAACAUAUCCAGUAGCGGGGGAUAACCUAUCGAAAGAUGGACUAAUACCGCAUACGAUCUACGGAUGAAAGCAGGGGACCGCAAGGCCUUGCACUAUUGGAGUGGCCGAUGUCGGAUUAGCUAGUUGGUGGGGUAAAAGCUUACCAAGGCGACGAUCCGUAGCUGGUCUGAGAGGACGAUCAGCCACACUGGAACUGAGACACGGUCCAGACUCCUACGGGAGGCAGCAGUGGGGAAUUUUGGACAAUGGGCGCAAGCCUGAUCCAGCCAUGCCGCGUGAGUGAAGAAGGCCUUCGGGUUGUAAAGCUCUUUCGGUGAAGACGAAACGGUUCAUGCUAAUAACGUGAACUAAUGACGGUACUCACAGAAGAAGCACCGGCUAACUACGUGCCAGCAGCCGCGGUAAUACGUAGGGUGCAGGCGUUAAUCGGAAUUACUGGGCGUAAAGCGUGCGCAGGCGGUUUGCUAAGACAGGUGUGAAAUCCCCGGGCUUAACCUGGGAAUUGCGCUUGUAACUGGCAAGCUAGAGUGUGGCAGAGGGGGGUGGAAUUCCACGUGUAGCAGUGAAAUGCGUAGAUAUGUGGAGGAACACCGAUGGCGAAGGCAGCCCCCUGGGUUAACACUGACGCUCAUGCACGAAAGCGUGGGGAGCAAACAGGAUUAGAUACCCUGGUAGUCCACGCCCUAAACUAUGUCAACUAGUUGUCGGGGAAGAAAUUCCUUGGUAACGAAGCUAACGCGUGAAGUUGACCGCCUGGGGAGUACGGCCGCAAGGUUAAAACUCAAAGGAAUUGACGGGGACCCGCACAAGCGGUGGAUUAUGUGGAUUAAUUCGAUGCAACGCGAAAAACCUUACCUACCCUUGACAUGCUAGGAAGCCCGCAGAGAUGUGGGUGUGCCCGAAAGGGAACCUAGACACAGGUGCUGCAUGGCUGUCGUCAGCUCGUGUCGUGAGAUGUUGGGUUAAGUCCCGCAACGAGCGCAACCCUUGCCAUUAGUUGCUACAUUCAGUUGGGCACUCUAAUGGGACCGCCGGUGACAAACCGGAGGAAGGUGGGGAUGACGUCAAGUCCUCAUGGCCCUUAUGGGUAGGGCUUCACACGUAAUACAAUGGUCGGUACAGAGGGCUGCCAACCCGCAAGGGGGAGCUAAUCCCAGAAAGCCGAUCGUAGUCCGGAUUGUAGUCUGCAACUCGACUGCAUGAAGCCGGAAUCGCUAGUAAUCGCGGAUCAGCAUGUCGCGGUGAAUACGUUCCCGGGUCUUGUACACACCGCCCGUCACACCAUGGGAGUGGGUUCCACCAGAAGUAGUUAGCCUAACCGCAAGGAGGGCGAUUACCACGGUGAGAUUCAUGACUGGGGUGAAGUCGAACAAGGUAGCCGUAUCGGAGGGUGCGGCUG
rnacentral:rRNA from 1 species